ensembl:lncRNA
AUGAGGCGAGCAUAGAGAGAGCUGCUUUUCAUAAAACGGGACUAAUGUAGUAAACUUACAGGAACAUAUACCACUACCAACGUUUGGAUCGAUAUCUGCAUCGAUCUGCACACCCUUGUCUCCUGGAUCCUAGCUGAGAUCAGCGUGAACCACGUGGGUCUCUGCUCCCUGAUCUGUUUCCUGUGUUUAGAAAGACUUCCAGCUUCAUGACGGAGUUUCUCUCGGUUUGUGGGCUCAUCUAAAGCUGAGUAACAGGAGGAGAAGAGUCUGGUGGAGCAGCAGAUGAACAAUUUCAGCCAUUUGGACUCAGCUCAGCCACUACAGAGGAAACAAUGACUUCAACACAAAAGUGUGUCAAUACAGGUGGGCGUCUUUCAACUUUGCAACCUUGAGUUCAGCAGCAGAAAAGUAGAUUAAAAGAAUUGGGAAAAUAAGCCAGUCUUUGGCUCGAAAUUGUGCGGCUGGAUCUCUCACUUUGUCCCUGAAGCGGAGAAGAAGUUCAAAGGACAGUCAAUCGCCUGAUGAAGACCGAUAGAACAUCGUGGACUUGAAUACAGCAGGCAAACGACAGUGCCACUGAUCCAUUAACACUGAUGACGACUGACGACCAGCAGUAGCAUGUAAGAGUAAUGCAAGAUGUACUGUGAAAAUACAGGCUGGGCAGUUGAACAGUGGGAUAAAGAAUUGUGGAAGAGCACUGGACAUUGAGUGAUAUUUUGCCAUGCUGGGACUUAAUCUGAAAGAAAGACUGUAAAGAAACAGAGAAGAAGACAACAGCUGAGUUGAGACUGUGUUUGCGGGAGCUUUGAAGCCCGAACAGGACAUUGUGCAGAGAGGACCAGUGAGAGAUGAAGCUGGACGAGUUUGACUGCGAGAAGAUAGGAGAUGAUUGGAUUGAAAAUUGAAGCCUGAACUCAUGAAUUGUUUAGGGAUGUCCACCAUAGCAUAACAAAGAGGUAAACAUUAGAAAAGGUAAGAAUAAUGAAAGAAAUAAUUGUCAUUACCUUAAUGAAUAGAAAACACACAUACAAAUUGUUACAUGUGAGAUAUUUUUGAAAUGAAUCAGAAGUGAGAUAGUUUGAAUCUAAAGCUCAGUGGUGAAAUGCAUAAAUUAAAUAUGAAUAUAUAGGAUGCAAUGAAGAAACAGCUUACACGUAGUGUACAUUAACAUGAAUACAUCGCAAGGCAACGAAGAACUCAAUGAAUUAAUUUAAUGAAGAAGCAGUUUACACCCAAUUAACAUAAAAUGCAGGGAAGAACACGCUUACAUGCCUGGCAUAAUUGGUGUUUCUGACAGAAAAGUCAGAGAAAUGGGUUAUUUAACCACUGGUGAUAAUAAUGAAAAUGUCUUAGUUUUGUUAUUUUCAGGAGUAAAGCAGACUUGGACCGGCUCUCCAGAUCCAGCAGUCGGAAGAAAGUUAGAGGUUAACAUCUAUGGAUAAGUUAAGGCAAGUUUCUGGUUGAAUUGUUCACAGCAUGAUGUGUCCAGGAACCUGAAAAGCAAGCCCCAGCUCCUGGCUGAAGACCAGGAGGGCGGUAAUUUAAGGUGGGAAAUCAAAAUGUGGGUUAGUAACUCGGGGAAAAAGAAAACUGACUGCUUAACUGGAGAGUUGGGAAGAAGUCUGGGAGACUGUGAAGUCAUAGAUGCAAAAUAACAUAUACCCAUACACACACAAACAGAAAAUGUAUUAACCUUAUAAAGACAAGCUCCUGAAGCUUAAUGAAUAGAUAUUGAUUAAAAACCUGGCUAAGAACAUAAGCAUAUGCAAUGAAGAUCUGCUUGCUGCUUGUAUGAGUGAGAGAGAUGGUGUGAAUGGUUCAUA